rnacentral:rRNA from 1 species
AUUGAACGCUGGCGGCAGGCCUAACACAUGCAAGUCGAGCGGAUGAAGGGAGCUUGCUCCUGGAUUCAGCGGCGGACGGGUGAGUAAUGCCUAGGAAUCUGCCUGGGAGUGGGGGAUAACGUCGGGAAACGGGCGCUAAUACCGCAUACGUCCUGAGGGAGAAAGAGGGGGAUCUUCGGACCUCACGCUAUCAGAUGAGCCUAGGUCGGAUUAGCUAGUUGGUGGGGUAAAGGCCUACCAAGGCGACGAUCCGUAACUGGUCUGAGAGGAUGAUCAGUCACACUGGAACUGAGACACGGUCCAGACUCCUACGGGAGGCAGCAGUGGGGAAUAUUGGACAAUGGGCGAAAGCCUGAUCCAGCCAUGCCGCGUGUGUGAAGAAGGUCUUCGGAUUGUAAAGCACUUUAAGUUGGGAGGAAGGGCAGUAAGUUAAUACCUUGCUGUUUUGACGUUACCAACAGAAUAAGCACCGGCUAACUUCGUG